GGCGGCGUGCCCCGUUCUCGGAAGCGUCGUCGGGUUUUCGGCAUGCAGAUUUCAGAGUUUGGACUCUACUUUUGGUGAGGAUGUCAAUCGACCUUGGGCGUGGUGACAGCACACCGGACAUGGCCAAAGUGCAGCCUGUCAGUUGAGUGCCCCCGGAUGGACCAUCAACAUUAGAAAAUGAAGCAGAGCAGGGAGCAAAAGUUCCGGUAACGCCAUGCAUUCAGUAUGGUGUCUCAGACGUGUAUGCAAGAAAUCUCCUUCAGGUGGACCAAGAACUACUCUUCAGUGUCUCGCAGACUUCCAUGCGAAGCCCUCAACAUUCUCGUCUCAGUGGAAUGGCUGCUCAUCUAUCAGCGUGUCCAUCACUGAGACUGCCAGUUGUAAAGCUUCUGAACCCCUUUGAGAAAGCUUAAUGAUAUUUUCAUGUACUUUUCACGGUUGAUCAUAGAAUCUGAAUAUUUUUUAUGUUUCAAACAUUUUUACCUGGUACAAAGUGGUGCAAUAGCUUUUAUACCAGUGUAAUGUAUUUAAGAGAUGCUCACUCUAAUGUCUAUCUGGUUUUGUUAGUGUUUAAGAAAUCUGAAUGUCUGAUGAGGUAACAGCAUCUGAAUUUGUCAUCGUGACUCGUUUCAAUGAACUGCUAGGAAAUAAGACGCAAUACUUACCACACACCAGUUGUAGCAUUUUUGUUUUCAUGACUAGAGUAUGCACGUUUCCAAAGACUGAAAGUGGGGGAAAAAUCAACUAGAACAUAAUCAUCCUAGGAUUGUCAUGUCCUCACAGCUCUGCAAUGACUAAUGCCUCAUGCAUCUUGGCAGCACAUUGGUCGCAAUGCCUAGAGGUAUAUUUUAUAGGAGAAUAGCUUGCACCCAGAUUUGCCGCACAGUUAAUCGCUGAUGGCUUUUGUUGUCGUCUUCAUGUUAAUACUAUGUAUUCAAUAUUCAUUUAGAUGUAAAGGACACUACAGGCACUGAACUAACAAAUGACAGUUGCAUUUCAGGGGACAAAGUGUCCAGCAUGCCUGUCACAAAACGUGUUCUAGGGGCUACCAUGCCUCUAUAUCCCAGAUGCGCUAAGUGCAAUGUAAUCGGUGUACUUGUCUGGAGUGCUUGAAAGAUGUGCUACAGGCUGUACUGGCACUGUCUGAAGAUAAUGCAUAGUUCUAGAAAGCCUGCAGCUGAGCAUCUGCCACCGUACUGAAGGAACUGUCCUAAUUUAUUUUGUUGAUGUGGAUGAAAUUUAGGAGCUGCAAUGAAUAGUUGUGACUGUGGUAGUGUUGCCAAACUAAAGCACAAUUUACACACCUCGACUCACACAAUGCACUCUGAAAGUUUUGCUACGUGGUAUCUGCGUUUGCUGCCUGACCUUAUGGCACCUUUACGAGCAGUCGCAGGUGAUUGCAGCUGCUGAGGCUUUAUCAAUUGGCAAGGUGAAAAAAAAUGCUGGGCCACCAGUGUGCCUGCACACUCCGAGAUGCAAGCUAUCUUGAACCAGGUGUUCGGUAGAUGGUACCUGUGCAGCCAAAACAAUGUGUUUAAGCCCUAUAGGCAACUGCGUUCACAACUGCACACAAGUGUGCUGUCACAACAGAAAGUUGAGAACAAGCAGCAUUUUACCGGUGUUUCUUCAAAACAUUAGUGCAAGUCAUUCCUUCACCAAUGAUGGUAAUCAUGGAUAGGUAAUGAGAACAAGGCAUUUGGCACACACAAG